ensembl:lncRNA
ACCACGGCAAUUCAUACAACUAAAAGAGAAUCAGAAAACGUGGCAAAGCUGAUCUUACUCCUCUUCCCUGUAUUUUUAAUAUGAGUUGAAGCGGGUUUCUGUCAGAACACAGGUGGGAUGCUGCCAAAGGGUGACUUGACAAGCUGUGCCAGGUCUGCUCCUGGGAUCUGAACCUGCGAACCCCAUGCCACCCAAGCAGACCGUGCGAACUUAACCACUAUGCCACUGGGCUGGCCCCAGACAAUUUUCCUUUUGGUCAAAGCAAAGUCAACAGAUGACAGGAGUAAAACACCAAUUUGUUCUUAAUUCCCAUACUCAAAUGGAGGAGAGUAUACAGGGCAGGUAUACCACGGUACAGGAAUCUUGGAGACCAUCUUAGAAUUCUGCUACAACAAAUUCCAGUUGCAAAAGAAGGCAAUGACAACAGAACUGGGGGUCUAGGGACAACCAAUAGAGUCAUAAACUGAAGGAUUGCAGCAAAAAGUGCCUGGGUAUUUGUCUAAUGUGUGCGUAUUUGCAUGUUUAUUCCUUAAUUCACCCCUAAGAUGAAGUGUCCAUUGAGUUUUUCUCCUGAGUAUCAACUUGUUUGUGUAAUAAUAAUUGACUUCUCCUUUCCAACUGAUUUGAAAUGACUUAUAUUUAAUAUAUGAAAUUAUCCUGUUUAUUUGUGUUUUAUGAUAUUUUAUAAUAUCUGCUAGAUCUAACCGUACCACAUACCCCAAUUAUAUAUUUUUCCUAAUUGUUUUUUCUUCCAGAUAAACUUUAAAACAAAGACAAUAUGUUGCCCAGUUUUCUCCAAAAGUGACAUUGGUUUUGUUUGUAUUUAUGUGAAACUUACAUAAAUACUUGAUGAACUUCAAUACUUCAGUGAACUUGAAAAGCUCUGAUACAUUUAUAAUCCAAAUAUUCACCUUCUUAUGUCUAUUUUUGUCUUCUUUUAAAAUUUCUUUUCACAUAUCUCCAUGGAUAUUUUAUUACUGAUUCUGGUUAUUAUUAUAACUUGCACAUGCACCCCACCCCCACCCCCACCAAAUGCCGCUCAGCCAUGACAGACUAGAAUGCAUUAGAGCAACCAUACACUACUAUUUUUGCCACUUCCUGGUCCUCAGUAGGGCUAGGGAAAGAGAAUAUAUUCCAGUUCUGACCUGUCUUCCAUCUCAAGAUGGUUGGUUGAACUUCCUGUCGUGUCAUCCACACUUGAUUAUUUAUUUAAACUACAAUGCCAAUUGGACUAAUUAGAAGUUAUUUAUAAUGUAUUGAUAACUCUUAAAAAUAUCUGCUGAAAUUAACUUCAUAUAUAAAAUUCAUAACCUAAUUUUUACAUUUAUUUUUCUGCAGGCUAAAGAGUACCACCUUUCUAAUUGACCGAAGCAUCAGAUACAUUAAAAUUGUUUUGAUAAAUGCAUAUUUCCUAGCUUAUCUCUUGUUAAUGGUACUAAAUUUAGAAGCUGGCAUUAAAGACUAGGUACACAAGAGACAUUGAAAUGAAGAAUUAAUUUGGAAGGAUUUAUCAUCAAAUUUUGGUCGUAUUAGUGAUUGUAUACCAUAUUUUUCC